rnacentral:snoRNA from 1 species
AAAUGGAUAAGAAUUAGCAUUGAGACACAGGUUAUGCUUCCCUCACAGCAAGUUUAUUGCAAUGGUGACCAUGAGACCUGGAACAUUU